rnacentral:misc_RNA from 1 species
UCAUAGCCCCGAUUGCAACGGUUACCCCACAGCACGCUUUGGAAAAAGCUCUGGCGCGAGGAGUAUGAGUGGAAAGCGGGAUUAAGC